GACAACAGAAAUCACUAAAUGAUAUAAUGUUCUGCGCAAAGAUAAAUUAGUACCAAAAAAAUGUUGCUACUAUUUCUUAUUUGAAAAAGAAACUCUAUCUUUUUUAGAGAAAUUCAAAAUUACACCUGAAAGUCACAGUUGCCACCUUUGAAAAUAUGAUUAGUAGGGAGUUCAUACUUUUACAAUGUUAAUUAUUGGGAAACAAGACAACCGAUAAUAAUCGGUAUGGAGAAACUCCAUAAUUUACUUCUAGAGAACUGCAAGCUUAGGGAAGAAGAUAUGAUGGUGGCAGCUAAAAAGAAACCAUAUAUACUGAUCAGAUUCAGGAGAAAGAAAAUACACAUUUCUGGACAAAUCUUAGAGACUCAACGGUGAGAAGGGUAGGUAAUGGUGCUAAGAGAACAUCUAAUGAAACUGAUUUCUGCAGAAUUAGAUACAAGAAAACCUGUCAUAUGAGAAGUAAACCACCAGCCACCAGCAGCAGCAGGAGCAGAAAUCUGCUUCUGCAAGAUCCAGAUAUGAUUGCUUGCUAAACUUUCACCAUAAAAGAAAACUAGAAAGAAGUAUCCAGAAAUGUGUCAUAUCUACAGAAAAACAAAAGAAGCAGGUCUUAAAAUGGGGCUGAUGUCGUCCUACGCAGCUGAUACUUCGGUUCAGGUGGUGCAUUUGGCAAUAUCUUCUCCAGCUCCUGCAAAUUCACCAAAAACAUUUAAAGAUACAAAGGAUGGAUAUACAUGCAUGCAUUGCUGAUCAAGUACAUACAAUACCCAACAUACAAAAUUAAAUAACAUCUAAAUUUCUGUUUUAAAGUUCAGAUAUGCUCCAUCCUCAUCAUAUACCUCCUGUAAGCAUGUCUCAAUGCCAUAUAAAAAUAUCAUCUAAGUUCACACGCAACUAAUAUAAUUUUGUACUCAACACCACCCAAGCAUUCAGCGAAUUAGUUUUAUCUGCUGCUUGAACAAGUAUCCUGCAAUGUGAUUCUUGGAGGAUAUAAAAUAUAGGACAGUAAGGCAACACAUAAUGAUGACAUUUAGGUUCCUUUGAAAAAAUACAAACAAGAAGAAAUAGAGAAGGACUGCAGAGGGGGUUUGUAAUGGAAACAAAUGCAAACACAGAUAUAUACAUGUGGGUGCACUAGCUGGCAUUCUUCACAUGUCUGUAUCACAUGAAUAACCAAAAUCAGUUAUUUUAUAUUAAACCACCUCUUUUUCCUCUCUUUAAGUCACUAGCUAGACAACAGCUAUCUCAACUAUUUGUUUGAUGUUCACUCACUCGUUUUAUUUUGGUUUUCCUUCCUCACUUAAAAGAUGACCUUUAGAGGAUGUCUAAUCCUCUGCUCUUGAGAUUAGUUUUUUUCUCCUCUAUUAUAAUAUUUCUUUCCCGAUAAAAAAAAAAUCUAAUUGUUUGAUAUUUACUCAUUCAAUUUUACUUGUUUGUUUGUCUUUGGUUUAGACAAAGGUAAGCCAAUCACCUUAUCCAACUGAAUAUUUUUGUCUCUCUAAUAACGUGGUUGAUUUAGAGAACUGUAUCCAACUGUUUACGCUACAAUAUAUCACCCCUUCAGACAGACCUCCAAAUGAUAAAUCCUAAAUCAGAUAGUUUAGAGAAUGUCAAGAAUAUGUCAUUUCAAACAUAGCCUUAAAAUAAAAUUAUUUUAACUUUUAAAAAUAUUUUAAUUUACAGCAUCGAUAGCAAUAGAUCACAGUAUAAAUAAAUAUCUUAGCAUAUUUAUGGG
rnacentral:lncRNA from 1 species